CUUGAACGCUAGCGGGAUGCUUUACACAUGCAAGUCGAACGAGCGGCGGACGGGUGAGUAAUGUAUGGGGACUGCCCGAUAGAGGGGGAUAACUACUGGAAACGGUAGCUAAUACCGCAUACUAUCGGAUAACCCAUAUGGGAUUAGCUAGUAGGUGAGGUAAUGGCUCACCUAGGCGACGAUCCCUAGCUGGGCUGAGAGGAUGAUCAGCCAACCUGAGACUGAGACACGGCCCAGACUCCUACGGAGGCAGCAGUGGGGAAUAUUGCACAAUGGGUGAAAGCCUGAUGCAGCCAUGCCGCGUGUAUGAAGAGGGCCCUGGUGUUGUAAAGUACUUUCAGUCGGGAGGCGUUACCGACAGAAGAAGCACCGGCUAACUCCGUGCCAGCGGCCGCGGUAAUA
rnacentral:rRNA from 1 species